rnacentral:rRNA from 1 species
AUUGAACGCUGGCGGCAGGCUUAACACAUGCAAGUCGAGCGAGCGGCGGACGGGUGCGUAAGGUCUGGGAAACUGCCUGAUGGAGGGGGAUAACUACUGGAAACGGUAGCUAAUACCGCAUACCAUCAGAUGUGCCCAGAUGGGAUUAGCUAGUAGGUGGGGUAAUGGCUCACCUAGGCGACCAUCCCUAGCUAGUCUGAGAGGACGACCAUCCACACUGGAACUGAGACACGGUCCAGACUCCUACGGGGGGCAGCAGUGGGUAAUAUUGCACAAUGGGCGCAAGCCUGAUGCAGCCAUGCCGCGUGGGUGAAGAAGGCCUUCGGGUUGUAAAGCACUUUCAGCGAGGAGGCGUUACUCGCAGAUGAAGCGCCGGCUAACUCCGUGCCAGCAGCCGCGGUAAUAC